rnacentral:misc_RNA from 1 species
UUAAGAAUGUCUCCAAAUCAGACUGCAAUCGCCGUGGAGGUCAAGUAAGCGCGGCGCGCAGGGGCGCCGAAGCACUCAACAUCACCAACAUCCACACGGGUUGAGAAGUUGAAGGCCCAGAGGGGGCCAUUCGUUAAUGAUCCCUCCGCAGGUUCACCUACGGAAA